UCACCUAUCUAUGUUCUCCAGAGAUGCUGCCUGACCCGCAAGCCACCGCAGCACCCUGUGUGCAUCCCCGCUGAUGACCGGCGCUCAGCCCCCGCCGGCACCGAGGGGGCCAGCCGAUAGCCACUGGACAAGGAGAGAGGCGCA